rnacentral:rRNA from 1 species
AUUGAACGCUGGCGGCAGGCCUAACACAUGCAAGUCGAGCGGAGCGGCGGACGGGUGAGUAAUGCCUAGGAAUCUGCCUGGUAGUGGGGGAUAACGUCCGGAAACGGGCGCUAAUACCGCAUACUAUCAGAUGAGACUAGGUCGGAUUAGCGAGUUGGUGGGGUCAAGGCCUACCAAGGCGACGAUCCGUAACUGGUCUGAGAGGAUGAUCAGUCACACGGGAACUGAGACAAGGUCCAGACUCCAACGGGAGGCAGCAGUGGGGAAUAGUGGACAAUGGGCGAAAGCCUGAGCCAGCCAUGCCGCGUGUGUGAAGAAGUUCUUCGGAUUGUAAAGCACGUUAAGUUGGGAGGCGUUACCCGCAGAAGAAGCACCGGCUAACUCCGUGCCAGCAGCCGCGGUAAUAC